CACGUAGUUAGCCGGUGCUUCUUUACCCAUUACCGUCACUCACGCUUCGUCACAGGCGAAAGCGGUUUACAACCCGAAGGCCGUCAUCCCGCACGCGGCGUUGCUGCAUCAGGCUUCCGCCCAUUGUGCAAUAUUCCCCACUGCUGCCUCCUGUAGGAGUCUGGGCCGUAUCUCAGUCCCAAUGUGGCCGGUCACCCUCUCAGGCCGGCUACCCGUCAAAGCCUUGGUAAGCCACUACCCCACCAACAAGCUGAUAAGCCGCGAGUCCAUCCCCAACCGCCGAAACUUUCCAACCCCCACCAUGCAGCAGGAGCUCCUAUCCGGUAUUAGCCCCAGUUUCCUGAAGUUAUCCCAAAGUCAAGGGCAGGUUACUCACGUGUUACUCACCCGUUCGCCACUCGAGCACCCCACAAAAGCAGGGCCUUUCCGUUCGACUUGCAUGUGUUAAGCACGCCGCCAGCGUUGUCCUGAGCCACGGAGUCAAACUACUA
rnacentral:rRNA from 1 species